GAAGGUGUGGCCCUUCGACGUCGCCCUUCGGGGGGUGGCGUCAAACCACCGCAUGCUGCGUUGGCUGAAGACCGUCGUGGUGAGCGAUGCGGAAAAGGCGUCCCGGAGGCGUCAGGU
rfam:Mycobacterium doricum strain DSM 44339 contig_58, whole genome shotgun sequence.